rnacentral:rRNA from 1 species
AUUGAACGCUGGCGGCAGGCCUAAUACAUGCAAGUCGAGCGUGCGGCGGACGGGUGAGUAAUGUAUGGGGACUGCCCGAUAGCGGCGGAUAACUACUGGAUCCGGUAGCUAAUACCGUAUACAAUAGGAUCACCCAUAGUGGAUUAGCUAGUCGGUGAGGUAAUGGCUCACCUAGGCGACGAUCCCUAGCCGAUCUGAGAGGAUGAUCAGCCACACUGGGACUGCGACACGGCCCAGACUCCUACGGAGGCAGCAGUGGGGAAUAUUGCACAAUGGGCGAAAGCCUGAGGCAGCCAUGCCGCGUGUGUGAAGAAGGCCCUAGGAUUGUAAAGUACUUUCAGUCGUGAGGCGUUACCGACAGAGGAAGCACCGGCUAACUCCGUGCCAGCAGCCGCGGUAAUUC